rnacentral:rRNA from 1 species
AUGAAUUGCCUAAGUUGGAACUGCCGGGGAGGGGGGGACACCUGGGCAGUUCGAGAGUUAGCGACAUUGUGUAAGUCGUGUUCCCCCAUGCUUGUAUUUUUGUGUGAAACUAGACAGAAGGAAUAGAAGAUGAGGAGGAUCCGCACCAAAUUGGGUCUUAAGGGAUUUUGUGGUGUGGAUAGCAAUGGAAUGAGUGGAGGUUUAGCAUUAUAUUGGAGGGAAGAUUGUGUGGUAGAGAUUUUGGACAAAAAGGACAGAUUUAUUGAUACAGUUAUCAGAGUUCGGGAAGGAGCUGCGCAAUGGAGAGCCACUUUUGUGUAUGGAGAGCCACGUGUGGAGAACAUACACUUAAUGUGGACAAAGUUACAGAACUUGAAAACCGUCAUUGAUUUGCCGUGGCUAGUAAUUGGUGAUUUUAAUGAGGCUAUGUGGGAUUCUGAACACUUUUUGGUCACACCCCGAGCAGAAUCACAGAUGAUAGCAUUUUGA